rnacentral:lncRNA from 1 species
CCUCCUUCCAGGUGAUGCCCAAGCCCAGUCCCAUGAGUUGAAGACAAUCAUAUGCACUUGAUGGUUCAAAUCACAGGAGCUCUGCAGAUUCCCUGUGCUCUGCAUUUAAGGUGGCAGAGAUGCAGAAUGGAUAAACACAAUGGAUUCAGAGAGCAUCACUGCAAUGGAGUGAACCACCAAACACACCCAAGGAUAUCAUGUCUUUGCAAAGGGAAAAGAACACUCUCCUCUUUCAUGCUCCAUAUAAUGAGUAAUGGUGAUCAGGAUCUGAAGAUGAUCUUUACCCAUUGCCAAUUUUAAGAAGGUUUCAGGCAAAGCAUUGUGUAUUUAAGAAAUGUGAAUAUACUGUGGUUUUCAAGCAGACAGAGGAACACCCUUAAAAGAGAUUUAAACAAUUUGAUCAGCAGCAUGAGCAGGUCUGUCUCCAGUUACUCUGUUGUCUUUGCCUAGGAGGCUGAAAUACACCUUUUAAUUGGAAGUUAAACAACACAAUUCUGCUUUUAAUGAAUAAGAUUUACUAUCCUAUAUUGUGCAGUCUGAACAGAGACUCGGUGUAGAGAAUAUUGCCUGAAAUUCUUUUUAUUCAAAUCUUCUGUGGUUUUCUUAGUCCACCUACUAGUUUAUUUCUCAAAUCCAGGAGGUUCAGGUUGCCCUUCUGUCCUGAAUCCUGUUUCAGCCCUAUAAGUCACAGAAUCACAGAAUGGGUUGGGUUGGAAGGGACCUUAAAGAUAAUCUCAGUCCAACCUCCUGCCAUGGACAGGGACAACUUCUACCAGACCAGGCUGUUCAAAACCCCGUCCAAACUGGCCUUGAACAAUUCCAGGGAUGAGGCAGCCACAGCUUCUCUGUGCAGCCUGUGGCAGGGGUUCACCACCCUCAGAGGGAAGAAUUUAAUAUAAAAUAGAAAUCUAUCUUCCUUCAUCUUAAAGCCAUUCUCCCUUGUCCUUCUCCCCACGUGAUCUAAUCCCCCUCCAUCCCCUCUGUGCUCUGCAUGCAGGAGCUCUGUGUCACACACCUCCCCCAGAGCAUCACCCCUGCCAAUCCCACUCCCCAGCUCUCCUGUAUAACCUGAGAUCCCUCUGGAAGUGAAAUGACCCAACCCCUCACAGUGUUUACAUCUAUCCAGCAGCUCUUGGUGGAAAUCAUUUCAGCAGCUCUGGUUUAUAUCCUUUUGAGGUUUCUUAAACUGCUGCCCAGCUCUGAUUAACUUGUCAAGCCCCUGGACUUUCUGUAUUACUCCCUAUUCCCUUGUUAACACAGCUUCCAUAAUGUUCCUGGCUUUCCACAGCUGCUUUGCAUUGUGGAGGCAUUUUCCCCAGGUUCACAGGGAUACCUAAAGCUGUUCUUUUCCAGUAGCUCAGACCCUGUGUGCAAGAGUGACUCUGGUCUACUCUGAUUUUCAAUUUCCUCCAGUUUUCUUAGCUAAGAGUAUCUUAACUGGCAGAUUUUGAGGAAUUAAUAUGAAUCUGGAGCAAAAGUAAAUGUUGCUGGAAAUUCACCAAGCUCCAAGGCAUGUGAGGUCUUCCACAUUCCUGCAGGACAUCUCAUAUUUCUUCAUGUUAUCCAGGCUCUGAGGGACCAGCACGUCAAACACAGCAUGCAAUUCUGCCUGGGCCAUCAGAGGUAGAAGCUGAGUCCUGCUUCCUUCUGGGCAGAUUUCUAUAUAAGAACACAGAAGACCUUAAUGGAUAAUAGAAAAAUUGGUAAAUUUUCUUGGAGACUGCUGGUGAAAAAUAGGCAUAGCCUUAUGUUACAUCCUUCUGGGAUUCCUCAAGCAGCUGCCCGGUUCAAAUUAACUGAAGACAUUUGUUAAGGCAAUGUGUCCUCUUAAUUUGUAGUUUCCAUUUUUGAAAGGUGUUUUGAUUAAAUGGUUUUUCACUUAUCAAACUUGAAGUCUUGAGUAUAAAAUUUAGGGGGAAAAAAACCAAAAAUAAAACAAAACCCAAGGGGAAUGAUGUAUAGGUU